rnacentral:misc_RNA from 1 species
CGAAUGGGUCCAAAGACUCUUAAAACCUACCGUGCUCCCCUACGUGGAACAUCAGAAAGCCCUCCGGGGCAUAGGAAAUCUGAGAAGUUGAGAACUGCGCCUCGGCGCAUGACUAAACAAAAAAUUA